GGGGGUGUGAAUUUAGUAAAGCCUAAAGGAAUGCAGAGUUUAAGGGCGCGGGCAGGGCAGGCACAGGGACGCCCUGCCUGUCCGUCCGUCUGUCCUGCCUGCUUGAGCCCUGCCUGUCUGUCCAUCCUGCCUGCUGGAUGCAGACAAACUCUGUCUGUCCGUCUGUCCGUCCGGCUGUGCACGGCGGCUGUGCCCGGCUCAGGGCAGGGCACGGUCACCGCUCGACACCCCGCAGAGGCGAUGCCGUAUGUCCGUGCCUGCUGUGCGGAGUUUCCCUUUGGCCGGCGCGGAGCGGCUCCAGGGAUGAGUCCCGAGGUGCGGUGAGCGGGGCCUGCCCUGCCCUGCGUGUCCGGGCAGAAGAACGCAGAGCA
rnacentral:lncRNA from 12 species